GGGAGAGGAAGAAGCAGGCUCCCAGCGGAGGAGCCUGACGUGGGGCUCGAUCCCAGAAUGCCGGAAUCACGCCCUGAGCCGAAGGCAGACGCUUAACGAGUGCGCCACCCAGGCGCCCCAAGGUAUCAGACUUCUCAUAAGACUUUAUGUCCAGUUUUCAUUGACUCCAGUAUCUAAUUUCCCCUGGGCUCAUCUAACUUUCAAAGAUUGCUAACCCAUAGGCCAAUAUUUGUUUCCAUGAGUGGCCCACUCAGAAAGCCGCAAGAGGCCAGAACCGACAUGCUGGAUGUCACAACGAUCCUUUCUUGAUGUUCACGGAGCAUGUCUUAGCUUUGAGUAAGUGUCCACCACGAUCUUUCCUUAUGAGACGAGGAGGGGGUAGGUGUGCUUUCCCACUUCACUUAUCAGCCUCAAGCCUUUCUUUGCUCUGGGGCUUUGCUUCCAAUUUCUCUUAGAAACUGGAAAGAAACUAUUAAAGGGGCCCAUGAGAUGCUACUUGGAGAAGUAAACAGGAGGAGAGAGGACAAAGAGGUCCAUUGCCUGCCACGGAUGGGGUCACAGCCUCCUUGGUUCCCCUUGACCUGGAUGGGCACCAAUCCUUUUUUUAAUAUGAUGGUUUGGGAUGAACUGUGCCCCCCCCCAAAAUCAUAUAUGGAAGCCCUAGGCCCCAGUCCCUUAGAAUGUGACUGUAUUUGGAAAUACAGCCUUUAAAGUGGUAAAUACGUUAAAUGCAGUCAUUAGGGUGGGCCCUUAUCCAAUGUGACUACUGUCCCUAUAAGAAAAGUUGACUAGGACACAGAUACGCACAGAGGGAAGACCAUGUAUGGACACUGAGAAAAGACCGCCAUCUACACACUAAGGAGAGAGACCCCAGGGGAAACCAACCCAGCCAACACCUUGAUAUUAAACUUUCAGCAUCCAGGACUGUGAGAAAAUAAAUUUCUAGUUAAACCACCCAGGCCGUGGUCCUUUGUUAGGCCAGCUCCAGCCGGCUAAUGCAUGUGAAUUGUUGAUUUUUUUUUUUUUUUUCCUAUUUGGAAUGUCACGUUCAGUUCACAUCAUUUGAAUACAGAGAACACCUUGCAUUUGGUAUGGGGUGUUCAUGCAGGAUAUUGGAUCUGAUUCUCCCCGUAAUACUGGAGGGCUGGGAUUUUUAUCUCCAAUAUUCAGAGGAGAAGACCAAACCGAAGAGGUUAAAGGAUCAAGGAAGGGGGGUUUGUAACCAUUUCUGUGCCUCAGACCUUCAUUAGCAAUUCAGUGAAUAUUGUUUCUAAACGCAUAAAAUACAUAACAUAGUACAAAAGAUUACAAAGAAAACCGAUUAUGUUAAAAUACAGUUAUCAAAUAUUUUUAAUAAUUCUAAUAUAGUAAAACACGUGCUUCCUUUUCAGUCCUUCCAACAGCAAGCUCUAGAAAUGGCUCUAAUAACUUCUGUCAUUUCAAAAUAGUGAUGAGUAUAAAACAAAUCUGCUUCAACUGUAACCUGCUCUAAAAAUAAAUCAGACUUCUCUUGGUGACAAAUUGGUAACAAAUUAAAGAUACUGUUAAUGCUGCUGUCAUUCACCCAAGAGGAAUACAGAUAUUCAUAGUUGUCUGAAACGCUGAAUUUCAGUUAGUGAUUAGUGAUCCUAAAACGGCAGUUUCUACCGGUGUACGUACACAGACCCCCUGAAAUCUCUCCCUGGGGUCUUCCUGCCCGGGGACAAAGUGUAAGCCGGCAUCCUCACUUCUCUAAGACCCUUCCACCGAGGGACUCAUUCAUGCCACCACCACGGACCCCUCCCAUGGGACCUGGACCGUGAGAUUAAGGUGAGGCGAGUUUAAGGGGACACCAAAACCAUACUCAAGAUAAAUAAUAUUAUAAUGCCCCAUUUUAAAACUCACAAUUAAUGCAAAAAAAAAAAACAAAAACAAAAACCACAACACCCUCCAUGAUGAACAAAACAUCAAAACGUAAAAUAGAGACAGGAUCUGACCCUACCAGGCAUACGGCACCAGGCACUGGGAAGGAGGAACUACCCGGAAAGAUUAAACUCCCUACCUUGAUGGAGCAUCUGUUCCAGAGCAGGAAUUGGCAGAUGACAGCUCCUGUACCUGUGUCCAUACAGCCCACAAGGGAGUGAGAGACACAGUGACGAGGCCCAGCAUGUGUUCUCAGCUCCCACCACCCUGUGACUGGAAGAGAGAAGACAGAGCAGGUAGGAGGGAGCACAAGCAUUGCUCGUGUGUCUCCCACGCACAGGCCCGGGGCCUCCCCAAGCCACCAGAGACAUCAUCACGGUCCCCGGAGCGGGGCCCGCUGGCGCUCAGAAGUCUUUGUGGCCCUUCUCAGCCACAAGGUUAGACCCCUCCGUGCUCCCAGUCCCCAGUCCCCAGCUCCCAGCGGCACUGGCUGCUCACAGACAUUGAGGGGUUUCCAUUUUCCUUCUUUAAGCAGCCCCACGCAGAUGGGGGUGUGUGCAUGUGUGUGCGUGUGUGUGUGUGAGUGUGACAGGCUGUAGGCAACCGAGCAUCCUUGGAGGCCUGAGUUCCUGGUACAUUUUGGUCCAACCGCGUCUUGGCAAGAAUGACCACUGGAUGAGACGACUGUCUUUCCAAUGAAAACGCCCACAAGCUGACAAUGAUACCAAAACCAAGGCCAGGGAUCUUGAAAUCGCCACAGGCAGACCUGGAGCACAUUUCCAAGUGUAGUUAUCUCUUAGAUUUGAUCUCGCCUCUCCUGCGUGGUUUCCCUCUUGUUUAGAAAUUAAACAAAGCAAGAAAUUAUGUGCUAAUUGGCUGCCAGAAAGCCCAAAUUGUCCACAGGCUGUCUGCUUAGCAAAAGCCGUGAUAAGAUUUGGCUCCUGUGAGUCGCUCUUCUGGAACGACGCUGAGCGUCCAUCACGCUUGCCGCACCGUGGACUCCACAGAACAGACAACCUCUCGGGAAUCUGGCGAUGGCCCUGAUCUUCUCUGAGUGGACAACGUGUCGUGGAGCCUGGGACCCAGUUCCCACAGGGAGAUUGAAGGAUAGCCCCGUGUCCUGGGCAUCUUCCUCGCUCCUCCAAGGCCACCUCGUGUGCCGUGCGGAGGACCUCCAGAUGACUUCCCAGUUUCCUCGUGACCCCCUCUGCCUCCGUCAGAGCAGACCCCACACGGGUUUUAUAACACGGCUUCCCUGCGGGCUCUGGGCAGUGAGCAGCGCCCGAGACAGAUAAGCACGGACAGGUCGGGGCUCUGCUCCUCAGCCACGCAGCCUUGAGCAGGUCACGUCCUCCGCGUCUGGCAAGGUCAGAGCACAGUGGCUGUCCUGGGGGUGCUCCCCCAAUUCCCCAGCCACCCAGGGGCUGGAGAAGCGCUGUGCGUCCUGCGCUCUUUCCUGGAGGGCAGGAGAUGGGAAAGCGGGGAGUCCGGCCAGGUAGAGGGCAGGCCCCCCGAGAGCCUGUGCGGGAGACACAGCCUCUUCCCCACGGCUGCUCAGCGCAUGGGCAGGCCGGCCAGCCACCUGGGCGCCACGGCCCCUGGGUCCCCGCAGCAGUCCACACACAGGCCUGUGUCUUGCUCUGUUACUCUCGCUUUGGUGUCCUGCUCCUUGACCAGAGCCCGCGAGCAGGACAGACCCUGGCAAGGCUCAUGAGGCCUGCCCUCCUAGCAGACCAGUCCCUUCCCACGGGAUAAGGGCUCCUGAUUAAGGGAAGUUUAUUCAACCGUGACCGGCAUUCGGAGCUGUCCUGACACCAGUUACAAGUUAGCCGAGGCGCACUCCUCAGCCGUGAAGCACCAAGGCUCGCUGACUCAGGGGAAGGAGUGGGGAAUAGAAGCGGAGGCCGCAGGGCCCCAGGUGUCUGCCCUCGCCGGCCUCGGCCUGGCCUUGGCUCCGAUCUGUGCGGUGGAGCGGUGUGGUUCCGGGAGGAGGAGGCUGGCUGGCAGGCACCUGGCUCCGCGGGGCCAACGUCCCCUGAUCCGGGCCUCAUCUUCCUCCGAGCCAAUGUAAUGAUUUACAGGGAGGAGACGUGCAGCCGGGCGUCUGCUCUGCGCGCCGUUCAGGAAGACAAGUCAACAGCUUCUCUCCCUUCCGCGGAGGGAGGAAAAUUCUGGGGGGUGCACACAUGAGCUCCGAGUGGGGUAGGGGCCACGGACAGGGUCCCACUGAGCCGCCUGGCUGGAUGGGCUGAGGCAGCCUGCCUGCGGGGCUGAGAUGGCUUCCAAGUCGCCCCCCCCCUUUGUCCCCCUCUCCCUCCCUCAGGUCAUCUGCCACUGAGGCCUUUCUGUUUCGCUGGUAACAACUACUUUGCAUCAAACGUGUGCAGUUAUGCAGAGGGAGUGAAGAGCAAUCCCGGACAGGCUAGAACUUCAUUCCCAAGCCAGGAGGGAAGAGGAGACAAGAGAGAGGAUUUGGACAGAAGGGACAAAAGGGGGACAAAGGAAUUCCAAGGCAGCGCGCUGAUAAAUGCCAGAGGCCAGUUUAGACCGGAACGGCUGCUUCACGUCCUUGAACCACUGGUCUGGGGGCACCCAAGAGUCAUUCGUGAUCUGGGACACCUGUGGCCAGGCAGGCCCUGGACCUCGGCUCCGCCCAGCGCACUCCAGGAGCCCCAGUGAGGUCUUUCCAGCUGCCAAGGUGAACGUUCCUGUGUACAAACUCCAGAAGUUGCAUCUACUAAGCUACAGGAAUGGAGUUACAAGCAUGAGGCUGCAUGUUUUAUCUGCCCUGCAGAAUACGUUGGAAACACCAGUUGGAGAAAUAAAUAUAAAAAGCAGGUGAAAUUUUUCUCAAGGUAUGUUUAUACUAAACUCAUUGAAAACCGAAACUUGUAUGAAAAAGAAGACCCAACUUUUCCUGUCAAAUUGCGUUUCCUUGCUGCAUCUGGAUACUUUUAGGAAAUUCACUUCACUUCAUACAAUUGUCACCUUUUAAGCGAUGGCCAUUCCUAAAAUAGCAAUCCAGUGGAUCGUCUGGCAAAAAUAAGCACACUGGAAACAAAAACUCGUCGUCAUGUACAUUGAAUUCUGUUCAAACCAAUAUUUAUUGAGUUCAUUUUAUGAAUCCAUAGGAGAAAAAGCAAAACAGUAAGACACAGCCCUAACUUCCAGAAGCUUAUACUCUAGAAGACAGACUUACCUCUGCCAGAAGGACAAAGGGUAGGAAUGAGUGAGUGUGCAUGUGUGAGAAGGAUAAUUAUCCCAUAAAAAUUCAUCUAUUUUUCUAAAUUUGGAGUUUGCCUAGUGGGCGUUCUAAAAGUUCACAUGCUGUAUUCCUUACUUUUUGAAAUUGCCCUCCUUGUAAUUUCAUUCAGUGAAAUGCAGAAGUACUAAAAUAAAAUUUUUUAAAAACCUUGUUUUUAAAGCCCAUCUUCUGUGACUUUAUGACAUUCAUUAUUUCAGAUAAUUGAGAAAAUUAUGUGCACCAGAACACAGAGGCUGGCAAAUUAAACAUUCCCUAUUUCGGUGCUGUCCUGGAAAAAAAAAAAAUCAAAGUGGCACAAAUAUGUGGUACAGCAUGAAACCUUUCUCUCUGCUGUUUUUACUCCAGCCUGGUUGAAUCUGCUGGCUGAAUCUGCUGGCUGGUGUUCUGGGAGGUUCCGGGAUGGUUUGGUUUAUGUUCACUGUCUACCAGUAAGGACCCACGCCCCACCCUUCCCCAAGAAUGGAAACAGUGAGGAGAUCCUUCCUGGCUGUUGUGUUGGAAGGCGCGGAUUUCAGCACUCACAUCUUUGACCCCUGUGUUGUGGCUGGAGGAGGAGGACAUCCCGAGAUGCUGGGGACCCUCCUGAGAAGCCCAGCAGUUCCGCUAAUGGGGUUUUCGCUUUGCUGAGCUGCCGGAACGAGAGCUACAGGGAGGACACCGUUUCUAUUCUUGGGAGCAGUCUGGUCGAGGCUAAUGCAUUAUUUAGCCUAUUCAUAGAAACUUGUAACAUCUGGGGUGUGUUGUGAUGUACACACUCGAGUCUCUGGGGGCACCAAGAGCUAAGCAUUCCAUAAACAAAUGUGACAGGUGUCAUGCUCCAUGCCUAGCAAAUGGCCACAAUGCUUGCGUAUGUCACAUUGCUGUCAUCUUCCCCAGCACCAAAGGAGGGUGACUCAGCCUUGAGGGACUUGGGGCUGUAGCCAUCCACUCCAAGGAACAGUCUGGCCCAAAUGAUGUCCUUUACCCCACAAGGAAACACCGUCCCCAUUUCUGAAUGUCCGGUUUCCGGCAGACCACAAUGUCCCAGUUACUCAGGCUCCAUGCUUACAACCAUCUGUGACUGCUUCCCACGGACCCCCAGCAGAUCUCAUCCAGCUGCGCACUCUGUCCUUCUGCCUUGGUGGCCAGUCUACCAGCUGCCCUUUCAUUUCAGGACCCACCCCCCACCCCCGGACCUCAUUACUCACAACUGGACUCUUCCAUUUGUCUCUCAAUCGCCUGUGCCCAUGCUCUCCUUGGGCUUUAAUUGCCACGUGUCUUUGUUCUCCGAUCACUCGGUCAUGACCCCCCUGCUUUCUUCACCCACUUCAUCCCCCGUCUGCUUUUCAAGUUGCCCUCCGCUAUUUCCACCUCCUCUAACUAUCUGGAACUAUGAGGGGCUCUCCCAAGUGGUGCUAACGGGCCAUACUCUGCCUUCAAUACCAGCUGAGGUUUCCACUUUUCAUCUUGUUUUCUCUGGCUGAGUUGGAAGGUCCACGAGGCUCCAGCAUCAUCUGCAGUCCCUGUCAUUGGGCAGGGUAACCGUGUUUUCCUUGAUUGAACAACUGUUCCAACAGGAAGAUAUACUUGAUGGGAAUAUAAAAGGAGAGAGCUACUCCACCUGUGAGUUGGACAGAUGGGUCUGCAAGAGUGGGGAAGAGCUUGGCAUGGAGGCAAGGGAAGAGAGGAUGUGUAGAAGAAAGAAGGAACGCCAAAGAGCAAAGUCUCCACACACAAGACCAGAUGAGAGUGCCAAGGGGGUCUGUUUGGCAGGAUGGGAAGAGAGGCAUGAUGGGAAAUUCCUUGGGCGUCAGGGCAGAAGCCAGAUCAUGCUUCCUUGGAUGCAGGCAACCUUGCAGUUGUUGUCUAGGGUCAUUGCCACCUGAGCCGGAGCAGGCUGGAAAUCCGACGGUGGCUGCAGGAGGUUGGAGGAAGGAAAGUGAGGGGGUUCCUUUUCUUUUGCUUCCCUUUCACACGGACCAAUUUUGCUCAUUUCCAAAUAAAUAUUUGACUCUGAACAAACAGCUUCUGCCUUGUCUUGUGUUCUUGCAGCCACGUCUUGCAUCUUGGCUCAAAUCUUCCCUUUGGCCACGAGAUCCACCACCCUGAGUUCUCCGAGCCCCACUUUCUGCCUAGUCUGACUGUUCCUGCAAGGCCUAUGUCAGGUCAGAGGACCGCACAGGACCUCUCCCAGCCACGAGCCUUAUGGGCCGCCCUCCCUGGCCAGGGCCAGCUUGUCUACCUUCGUUCAGAGCUGCUGUUUCCAUUUGGCCUCUGUGUCCUCUGUCCCUGGCCAGCGUGUAGGACUCCCAGAGUGCUGACUCUCCUUUGUGAUAUUCACAGGGCUCUCUCUUCGGUUAUUGACAUAUCAUGACUUAAAGUGACAAUUCAAAAACGAUGUCUGUGGUUUCAGGGAAAAUGGAUAUUGCUCUGAAGAGAAGUGGGAGGGGAGGGGGGAAUAAAUACCCCCAAAGAUGACCGUCUUUGAGUCACAAGAAUCUGGCUACCUUGGGGACACCCCUGUACUAGUUUUGGUCACAGCCUGUGACGUGGGUGGGGAGACACUCACUUACUUUUGUCCUAACCAGGAGAACGUCAACUUUCGCAGCAUGCUGACCACAGUGCAGUGCCUUAGGGUAUACAGUUGGUGCUCAAUAAGUAAAUGCUCAAUGUGUUUCAAAUUAUUAUUUUUCAUCUAAAAUUAUUUUCAUUUAAAAUAAAUUUAGUGAAUUACCGACCCAUGCUGCAACGUGGAUAAACCUCGGAAACAUGCUGAGUGAAAGAAGCCAGAGACAGAAGGUCACAGAUCACAUGAUUUCAUUUCUAUGAAAUGUCCAGAAUAGGUAAAUCAUUAGAGACAGAAAGCAGAUUAAUGGUUGCCUGGGGCUGGAGCAAAGGAGGAAUGGAAUGAGGAGUGACUGUUUAAUGGGUACGAGGUUCCUUUGGGGAUGAUGAACAUCGCCUCUACGUAGAGGUGAAGUUUGUACAACUCUGUGCAUAUA